UACAGAGGGGGCCAGCGUUAUUCGGAAUUAUUGGGCGUAAAGGGCGCGUAGGCGGCCAUGCGUGUCUUUCGUGAAAUCCCUCGGCUUAACUGAGGACGUGCGGAAGAAACUGCAAGGCUUGAGUCCGGGAGAGGGGGGUGGAAUUCCGAGUGUAGAGGUGAAAUUCGUAGAUAUUCGGAGGAACACCAGUGGCGAAGGCGGCUCACUGGUCCGGUACUGACGCUGAGGUGCGAAAGCGUGGGGAGCAAACAGG
rnacentral:rRNA from 1 species